rnacentral:misc_RNA from 1 species
UCCGGUUUGUCACCGGCAGUCUCCCUAGAGUUCCCGACCGAAUCGCUGGCAAAUAGGGACAAGGGUUGCGCUCGUUACGGGACUUAACCCAACAUUUCACAACCGUUCUACGACAGCCAUGCAGCACCUGUGCAGGCUCCCGAAGGAGCCCCGUGUUUCCACGGGUUUACCCUGCAUGUCAAGCCCAGGUAAGGUUCUUCGCGUUGCGUCGAAUUAAUCCGCAUGCUCCGCCGCUUGUGCGGGCCCCCGUCAAUUCCUUUGAGUUUUAGCCUUGCGGCCGUACUCCCCAGGCGGGGCACUUAAUGCGUUAGCUACGGCGCGGAAAACGUGGAAUGUCCCCCACACCUAGUGCCCAACGUUUACGGCAUGGACUAC